AACGAACGCUGGCGGCAUGCCUAACACAUGCAAGUCGAACGAAGCCUUCGGGCUUAGUGGCGCACGGGUGCGUAACGCGUGGGAAUCUGCCCUUGGGUUCGGAAUAACAGUUAGAAAUGACUGCUAAUACCGGAUGAUGUCUUCGGACCAAAGAUUUAUCGCCCAAGGAUGAGCCCGCGUAGGAUUAGGUAGUUGGUGGGGUAAUGGCCCACCAAGCCGACGAUCCUUAGCUGGUCUGAGAGGAUGAUCAGCCACACUGGGACUGAGACACGGCCCAGACUCCUACGGGAGGCAGCAGUGGGUAAUAUUGGACAAUGGGCGAAAGCCUGAUUCAGCAAUGCCGCGUAAGUGAUGAAGGCCUUAGGGUUGUAAAGCUCUUUUACCAGGGAUGAUAAUGACAGUACCUGGAGAAUAAGCUCCGGCUAACUACGUGCCAGCAGCCGCCGUAA
rnacentral:rRNA from 1 species